rnacentral:rRNA from 1 species
AGUGAACGCUGGCGGCGUGCCUAAUACAUGCAAGUCGAGCGAGCGGCGGACGGGUGUGUAAUGUAUGGGAAACUGCCUGAUGGAGGGGGAUAACUACUGGAAACGGUAGCUAAUACCGCAUACCAUCAGAUGUGCCCAGAUGGGAUUAGUUAGUUGGUGGGGUAAUGGCUCACCUAGGCGACGAUCCCUAGCUGGUCGGAGAGGAUGACCAGCCACACUGGAACUGAGACACGGUCCAGACUCCUACGGGAGGCAGCAGUGGGGAAUAUAGCACAAUGGGAGCAAGCCUGAUGCAGCCAAGCCGAGUGUGUGAAGAAGGCCUUCGGGUUGUAAAGCACUUUCAGCGAGGAGGCGUUACUCGCAGAAGAAGCACCGGCUAACUCCGUGCCAGCCGCCGCGGUAAUAC